rnacentral:rRNA from 1 species
UACGUAGGCAGCAAACGUUGUUCGGAGUUACUGGGCGUAAAGAGUACGUAGGCGGUUUGCCAAGUUUGGUGUGAAAUCUCCUGGCUUAACUGGGAGGGUGCGCCGAAUACUGGCGGGCUUGAGUAUUGGAGAGGAAAGCGGAAUUCCUGGUGUAGCGGUGAAAUGCGUAGAUAUCAGGAGGAACACCAGUGGCGAAGGCGACUACCUGGCCUGUUUCUUGACGCUGAGGCGCGAAAGCUAGGGGAGCAAACGGG